AUUGAACGCUGGCGGCAUGCUUUACACAUGCAAGUCGAACGGUAACAGGCCGCAAGGUGCUGACGAGUGGCGAACGGGUGAGUAAUGCAUCGGAACGUGCCCAGUCGUGGGGGAUAACGCAGCGAAAGCUGCGCUAAUACCGCAUACGAUCUGUGGAUGAAAGCGGGGGACCGAAAGGCCUCGCGCGAUUGGAGCGGCCGAUGUCAGAUUAGGUAGUUGGUGGGGGAAAGGCCCACCAAGCCAACGAUCUGUAGCUGGUCUGAGAGGACGACCAGCCACACUGGGACUGAGACACGGCCCAGACUCCUACGGGAGGCAGCAGUGGGGAAUUUUGGACAAUGGGCGCAAGCCUGAUCCAGCAAUGCCGCGUGCAGGAAGAAGGCCUUCGGGUUGUAAACUGCUUUUGUACGGAACGAAACGGCUCUGGUUAAUACCUGGGGCUAAUGACGGUACCGUAAGAAUAAGCACCGGCUAACUACGUGCCAGCCGCCGCGGUAAAAC
rnacentral:rRNA from 1 species